CUGGGCCCCGACCCCUAGGCAGCCCCGGGCUCUGCCAGCCCCGGCCCGGAGCCCCCGGGCUGGAGAAUGACAUCCAUGUUUUGCUUCAACUCAUCUGAUCCUCCCAUGACACAGGGAAGAGAAAUGGCUGCAGUGGAGCCGGCUCAGGGGCCGGUGACCUUCGAGGAGGUGGCUGUGUAUUUCAC